rnacentral:rRNA from 1 species
CCGGGUGACCACAGUCAGGGGGCCACACCUGUUCCCAUUCCGAACACAGCAGUUAAGCCCCUGACGCCGAUGAUAGUGCCGAGAGGUGCGAAAGUAGGUAUUGCCCGGG